rnacentral:rRNA from 1 species
GAUAAACGCUGGCGGCGUGCCUAAUACAUGCAAGUCGAGCGAACGGACGAGAAGCUUGCUUCUCUGAUGUUAGCGGCGGACGGGUGAGUAACACGUGGAUAACCUACCUAUAAGACUGGGAUAACUUCGGGAAACCGGAGCUAAUACCGGAUAAUAUUUUGAACCGCAUGGUUCAAAAGUGAAAGACGGUCUUGCUGUCACUUAUAGAUGGAUCCGCGCUGCAUUAGCUAGUUGGUAAGGUAACGGCUUACCAAGGCAACGAUGCAUAGCCGACCUGAGAGGGUGAUCGGCCACACUGGAACUGAGACACGGUCCAGACUCCUACGGGAGGCAGCAGUAGGGAAUCUUCCGCAAUGGGCGAAAGCCUGACGGAGCAACGCCGCGUGAGUGAUGAAGGUCUUCGGAUCGUAAAACUCUGUUAUUAGGGAAGAACAUAUGUGUAAGUAACUGUGCACAUCUUGACGGUACCUAAUCAGAAAGCCACGGCUAACUACGUGCCAGCAGCCGCGGUAAUACGUAGGUGGCAAGCGUUAUCCGGAAUUUAUUGGGCGUAAGCGCGCGUAGCGGUUUUUUAAGUCUGAUGUGAAAGCCCACGGCUCAACCGUGGAGGGUCAUUGGAAACUGGAAAACUUGAGUGCAGAAGAGGAAAGUGGAAUUCCAUGUGUAGCGGUGAAAUGCGCAGAGAUAUGGAGGAACACCAGUGGCGAAGGCGACUUUCUGGUCUGUAACUGACGCUGAUGUGCGAAAGCGUGGGGAUCAAACAGGAUUAGAUACCCUGGUAGUCCACGCCGUAAACGAUGAGUGCUAAGUGUUAGGGGGUUUCCGCCCCUUAGUGCUGCAGCUAACGCAUUAAGCACUCCGCCUGGGGAGUACGACCGCAAGGUUGAAACUCAAAGGAAUUGACGGGGACCCGCACAAGCGGUGGAGCAUGUGGUUUAAUUCGAAGCAACGCGAAGAACCUUACCAAAUCUUGACAUCCUUUGACAACUCUAGAGAUAGAGCCUUCCCCUUCGGGGGACAAAGUGACAGGUGGUGCAUGGUUGUCGUCAGCUCGUGUCGUGAGAUGUUGGGUUAAGUCCCGCAACGAGCGCAACCCUUAAGCUUAGUUGCCAUCAUUAAGUUGGGCACUCUAAGUUGACUGCCGGUGACAAACCGGAGGAAGGUGGGGAUGACGUCAAAUCAUCAUGCCCCUUAUGAUUUGGGCUACACACGUGCUACAAUGGACAAUACAAAGGGCAGCGAAACCGCGAGGUCAAGCAAAUCCCAUAAAGUUGUUCUCAGUUCGGAUUGUAGUCUGCAACUCGACUACAUGAAGCUGGAAUCGCUAGUAAUCGUAGAUCAGCAUGCUACGGUGAAUACGUUCCCGGGUCU